ACUCCAAACAUGAUCACAAAACACACAUUACAAUAUGAUAUGCAAUGUCUCAUGUUACACAUUUAUAUAUAUUAUGGUAAUGUGUGCCGCCAAUCAGAGAUUCCUGACCUGCUCGCGGCAGUUUGCCAUGUUACGAUCGUUAGCGUAGCAUUUUUGUUGCUACUGCACUAAACAGCAGAAAUGGCUACCCAUGAGUUUGUUUUAACUUCAACUAAGAUAGAAGAUGUCGACUAAAAGGGCUAGCUAUGCAGCCGCUUUUAAAAGAAAAGUAAUCACCACUGCCGAAGGCGUGGGAAACCGCAGUUCAGAGUGGGUGAAUCGAACGUGAGAUUGUGGAGGAAGACGAAGGAGAAAAUCAUCCAGCAAAAAGCACAUGCAAGAGCUUUGGGACGUGGGAAAGUCACGCAGUUCCCAGAGAUGGAGGAAGAGCUGCUGCAGAUUGUAGCCGAACGGAGGGCAAGUGGCUGCGCUAUCAACACAAUCGAACUUCGUCUCAAAGCUCUGACAAUAAAGAGGAAUAAAGGGAACCAAGUGAUCAUUCCUGGUGGCAUGACUGCGCACUUGAAGGUGGCAAUGUAAGGAAACCCGAACUGCUGCAAAUAACAGCAUGGAUAAAAGAUGCAUGGGAUGCGGUUUCCCCUGACAUAAUUUCAAGGGGAUUCAAAACAUGUUGCCUCACAAACGGCAUGGAUGGCACAGAGGGAGGGAGGAUGAGACCGCUGUUCAUGACGCAAUGCAAGAGGCACCGGAGCAAGAGAAACUGGACCAAGUCGUCAAUGAUGAGUUCUACAGUGAUGAAUCAAAUGUAGCUGCAAUGUAUCUUCUUGAUGGUCAGAUGCUUCUUUUCAAGGCUUUGCCGAGUAUGUGUGAUGUAGUGGAUAGACUGCACUAUGCACAAAUGUUUCGUGCACAAAGGUUUCUUAAGUUAAACAGUGUUAAAUUGUUUAUUGAAUAUUUAAGACUGUAGUACGUGUUAUCAACCGUACUAAUAAAAUGUUAUACCAUCA